GACGAACGCUGGCGGCGUGCCUAAUACAUGCAAGUAGAACGCUGAAGGAGGAGCUUGCUUCUCUGGAUGAGUUGCGAACGGGUGAGUAACGCGUAGGUAACCUGCCUGGUAGCGGGGGAUAACUAUUGGAAACGAUAGCUAAUACCGCAUAAUAGUAGAUGUUGCAUGACAUUUGCUUAAAAGGUGCAAUUGCAUCACUACCAGAUGGACCUGCGUUGUAUUUGCUAGUUGGUGGGGUAACGGCUCACCAAGGCGACGAUACAUAGCCGACCUGAGAGGGUGAGCAGCCACACUGAGAGUGAGACACGGCCCAGACUCCUACGGGAAGCAGCAGUAGGGAAUCUUCGGCAAUGGACGGAAGUCUGACCGAGCAACGCCGAGUGAGUGAGGAGGGUUUUCGGAUCGGAAAGCACUGUUGUAAGAGAAGAACGAGUGUGAGAGUGGAAAGUUCACACUGUGACGGUAUCUUAUCAGAAAGGAACGGCUAACUACGUG
rnacentral:rRNA from 1 species